rnacentral:lncRNA from 1 species
ACUCCGGACUAUUCUUGUGCCUUUUGGACUAAAUAUAAUGCGAGUUUGUUCUGCUCAAUAGUUCAUAUUCUAAUACUUAUGUGCAGGUUUAAGUUUAAAUUUCUAGGGUCUCACGCCUCCGGAUUCACCAAAAAGGUAACGCUCGAGUAAACAAGUGGGGCGUUCUAGCUACUGGUGCAACUGCGCCCCCUGCCGGCACUGGGCCGGCAAGCCGGCCUCAUCAGGCGGCCUCUCCCGCUUCCCCCAGCACAGCGCAUACUUUAGCCGUUCCCCUCUUUUGCAGCUUUCCAACCAAGCCAAACUGGCUUAGCGCUGCCCCGAGCUAAGCACAAGUGCACUUAGCGCUGAGCAUCUAAGGUAAAUCAAAGCCUCGCAGCCUUAAAGUAUCACGGUCUAUCGGGGCACACCCGAAGC